AGGAAUUUUUUCAGAAAAAUUCCAUUUGUUGGAGAGGAAGAAUAAAUUCUGGUUCAUGAUUUAUGGCACGGGAUCUAUUCAUUCAUGGUUUAUCAACACACAAAUGUAUAACUCUCCAGGAAUUUUAAUUGUACUUUUAUUCAUCACGGUGGGAAUUGGAUUCAAGCUUUCCUCAGCUCCUAAUCAUCAAUGGACUCCUGACGUAAACGAAGAGGUGCACAGCGGAAGACGAAGAGGAACAAGCACCAAUGGUGACAGAGGAAGAGGAACAAGCACCAAUAGAGGAACAUGAACAAGCAACAAGCACCAACAGAGGAAGCGGAGGAGGAAGACGAAGACGAAGAACGGCAUAGGAGGAGAAGGAAUUGUGCUGUACAGACAAUUUUGCCAUUUGAGCACCGGUGCUGGGUGCCCAGCAAAAAAGGUAAGGUCUGAGAGAAAAUAAUAGACUGGCCCGCAAAUGGCAGCUCAUGGCGCGAUCAGAGUCGAGACAACAACAACAUGCAUUUCUUCAUAAACCCCAAACCCUUCUCUUUCUCUCCCUCUCUUUUUCUCUCUACAAUGACUGACUCCGAAAGAGAAUCAGAGUCAGAGGGAGAGAUUAGGGCUUCCAUCGAACCAUCCAGCCCCGAUAGCAGCGGCUAUGCCGGCGAAGGAAGAGGCAGUACCAGCGCCACCAGUGGCUCCCAGUUCGAAAUAGAACAAGAGGAUGACAUGAGAAUUGAAAUCGAUAGAAUCUCAAUUUCUGAUUCCCACACUACUAGGAUUCCCGACAAACGCCACUUCAACGAGGUACGUGCAUUGCACUCGCUCUGUGAAAAUGGAUACCUGUAAUUGUAAAUGUCGUGUUGUAUUUCUGUUUGGUUAAUGAAUGAAGUGUAGGAUGAUGCUUCCCUAUCGUGGAGGAAAAGGAAGAAGCAUUUCUUCAUUCUUAGUCAUUCCAACAAACCUAUAUAUUCUAGGUUAGUGUUUCUUUACCUUUGUCCGCGCCUCUUUUUGUAUUGUUGAAUUUUCCAAGUAAAACUUUAAUUUAGUACCACUAGUCAAUGAGGUUCUGACCUUAAGUUUGUAUUUGGAUGAGCAUUGGCAAAAUUAAUUCUGAAUAAAAUUGAUUUUGUAAAACAGAUUUUAGGUAGAAUUGAUUUUGAAGUAAUUUCAUUUUUCUUUGGAUGAUUUUGGUUAUAAUUGAUUUUGAAGUAAAAUUUAAUAUAAAUUUUUUGAUUCAACGCAAAAGCUACUUAAAGUUGUUUUGAUUUAGAAUCAAUUUUGGACUCAUAAUCAAUUUUGAUCUCUUCUCUAACGUGAAACCAAACAUGCGAGAAACUACCUAAAAUGAAUUCUGAACUCAUAAUCAAUUCCGCAACGUGAGACCAAACAUGCACUAAUCAAUUUGACCGUUUGACAUUACCAAAAAUCAAUUUAGUAAUUGAUUUUGUUAAUUGUCAAUAGAUUUAGUCAUUUAUUUUGACGACUAUUAGUCAGUUUAGUCUCACAUUGGUGGAAAAAUUUUAGGUAGUCCUGAAAUACCACCUGCCCAUGCUCCCAGCCAAUUUUCAUGUGGCAUUUAUUCAAGUUUUUUAAUUUACGACAAAGAUUUAAUAACACUAUAUGAUGUGUCAUGUGGAGACAAUGAUGUUAAAUGGCGGUGCCUACUGCCAUGGUGGAAUGGCGUGGCUUGUUUUUUGCUAUCUGCUAUAGGCAAUUUUUUAAGGGAAGCACAGCGCCAUAGGCCACAAUGGUUUGUUUAUAUGGCAGAAUUUUUGCCUUCUGCCAUCUGCCAUUGAUAAUACCUGUGUGGAAAUUAGUAGGAACCAUGAUGGUAUUGGACCACUUAAUAAUUCUUGCAUUGGUGUGGAUAAGUCAAUUUGAUUUUUUACAUUAGGGACCAAAUUAAUUGUUGGUUGUCAAAUUUAGGGAUUGCAUUGAUUGAUUAUGGUGCCAAUUUCAGUAUCCAGAUUAAUUGUGGUGUCAAUUUCACAGAUCAAAUUGAUUGAUGGUUGUCCACUCCAGGGAUUGAAUUUGCUAUUUCAUAAAUGCUAAGGACCAAAUUGACUAAUGAUAUCCAUAUCAAGUGUGAAAUUGAUGUUAUACACUUAAACUUCUUGUUCUGUUAUUUUUUUUACACUGUUUGCUUCCUUCUAGGUAUGGAGAUGAACACAGGCUUGCAAGGUUUUCAGCAAAUUUGCAAGCAAUCAUUUCCUUUUGUUGAGAACGGGGGUGACUGUCAAAUUGGUGAGGGCGGGAAGGCAUCAGGUGGUUCAUAUGUUUUUAUCUCUUCAUGUUUUUGUGCUUGAAUAGUAUGUUUCAUUUGAGCAUUCAUUGAAAACCAGCUCCUCAAAUUCUCACGAAGAAUAUGCUAAGCAAUAUCAUUCAUAUUUUAAUCCAUGCUUAGCUUUAAAGUGUAAAUGACAUUUAGUGGCCAUCCUUUCUUUUUCAUCAAUGAACUACUCAUCUUAUGUAACUAAUGAUUAAGAGAAAGAUGUUUACCUGUUAUGUCUAGUUUGACUAAUACAAUGUUUCAAGGUUGUGAAAUCCCUACAUUGAAAUCAUGGCGUAGGUGGUUUUUCUUGUGAAAGGACCAAAUUUACUUAGUCUGCAAAUAUUACAAAUUGCAUUUAUAUUUUUGUGCCAUUCCGGUUGGUUUAGUUCUCAAUUUUUUAUUUUUUUUUCACAAUGAUUGUAUGCAGGCCUUGGCAAUAAAGACUUGCAACCAUGUUUGUCAAUGGAUAAAAGAUGUAGAAAAUGAAAUAUUUUUGCUAGGAGCUAGCCCCUUUUUAUGGUAAUUUCCUUGCAAAUGCUGUCAACACGUACGGUAAAUUUUGUUUAAUAAAAUUCCUUUACAAUUUAUUCUUUUUUAGUAUUCCCUUUGGUCAAUUCAUUUUAUAUAGGAAAAUAGUUCUUCCUUGUAAAAAUCAUUAUACUAUCAAUUUGUGAAGGGUAUUGUUAUUGGCACUACCCGCGGGGAUGUCUUUUAGCUAUAUUUCCAAAUUGUUCCUUGGAUGGAAACACUACAGACAGGUGUUUUUGUUGCAUAAGUGGGGCUGGAAAAACAAAACACAAUGGAAGCAUGAUUUCAUUGUACAUGUUUCCAUUAUUAUUGGUGCAAAGAAAACAAGGAAAGAAUGAUUUCGUUGUACAAUGUACAACAAAAUCAUAUUUGCGUUGUGUUAAUUUUUUCACUCACGUGUGCGCAAUAGAAAUACGAUUCCGUUGUUGUAAUGCACAACAACGGAAUCAUAUUUCUGUUGUUUCUUCUUCUUUUUUACUUAACAAAAGUGUACUUUUGUUGUACACCCUUCUCCUCUCCUUCUCCUUCUCCUUUCCUUCCCCUUCCCCUAUAGAUGCAAAUAGAUCUUGGGGUCGUUGGGUUUAGGUGUGCGAAGGGUUGGGUCGUCGCAUGAGGGUGGGUUGCACGUGGGGUGGUUUGCGAGGGUGGGUUAUGUGGCGAUGGUGUGGUGCUGGAUCUGAGGGGAAGGAGAGGUGAUGUGGGGAUUUGGUGAGUGGGCAAAAGAGAAAUUUUUUCUAGUUUGGUACUGCAAAUAACACUAUUGGUAGUGGAAAUAGUAGUUCCGUUUAGGCCCUA